UUUUUCUGUAUUCUUAAAUAAUUUUAAAUAAAAUGAUAGUAUUUUUAAAAGAGGUCAAUGGUCAAUAAGAAACGAGCUGCUGGGCCACACUUUGGACACCCCUGUUUCAAACCAGCUAAAAAAGGCGUGGCGCCGUUGGGUGAGUGGCCGUGCCAGCAACCUGAGGAUUCCUGGUUCGAUCCCCACCUUCUACCAACCGCGUCCUGACCGUUGUGUCCUUGAGCAAGACACUUCACCUUCUCCCGCCAUCAGUGUGAAUGUGGAAAUGGUGUCAAAGCGCUUUUGAGUUCCUUGAAGAUCCCCUGCUACCUCACCGCCAUACCCCUUCACGCAGCCUACGCUCCUCUGAUGCCAACCUCCUCUCCCCCCCACUCCAUAACCAAGGUCCGGACCUGGGGUGACAGAGCCUUCUCCAUCGCUGCUCCCACCCUCUGGAACACUCUUCCCAAACCCAUCCGUGACUUCCCAGACCUUCCCACUCUCAAAAGCCUUCUCAAAACACACCUUUUCAGGUCUGCUUUUAACCAAUAAUUAGUGUUCUGUGUCUUGUAAUGUCCUGUCUUGUAGUUGUCCUGUAUUAUGUAUUUUACAAUGUACUGCUUUUAUAUUUACUGUAUUUUAUAUUACUUUAAACUGUUUCAUAUUUCCAUUUUUUCUCCUGUAAAGCGUCUGAGUGCUUUGAAAAGCGCUGUACUAAAUCAAAAUUAUUAUUAUUAUUAUUAUUAUUAUUAUUAUUAUUAUUAAAGCACUAUAAAAGUAUAACCCAUUUAUCUACAAGGUCAAUGUUGUGUGGCUUUGGUCAAAGUCAAUAUGUGUUUGGGGUCUGGUCAUUUACAAAGUCAAUAUGCAGUGGUCCU